rnacentral:rRNA from 1 species
AUAGCGUAUAUUAAAGUUGUUGCGGUUAAAAAGCUCGUCGUUGGAUUUUGGGGCUUGGCGUACGGUCCGGUGUAAAUCGCGCACUGUGCGCUGGGCUCUUCCGUUUGGUGGCGGAAGCGGUGCUUCACUGUGCCGCGGACGCUUCCAGACCUUCACUUUGAACAAAUUAGAGUGUUUAAAGCAGGCAGUCGCCUUGAAUACAUUAGCAUGGAAUGAACAGAUAGGACUUUGGUUCUAUUUUGUUGGUUUUAAGGACCAAAGUAAUGAUUAAUAGGGAUAGUUGGGGGCAUUAAUAUUUAAUUGUCAGAGGUGAAAUUCUUAGAUUUAUGAAAGAUUAACUUCUG